rnacentral:rRNA from 1 species
AGAGUUUGAUCCUGGCUUAGGACGAACGCUGGCGGCACGCUUAACACAUGCAAGUCGAACGAGCGAAAGGUGCUUGCACCUCUAGCUAGUGGCGGACGGGUGAGUAACACGUGAGCAAUCUGCCUUUCGGUGGGGGAUACCAAUUGGAAACGAUUGUUAAUACCCCAUAACAUAACGAAGCCGCAUGACUUUGUUAUCAAAGAUUUAUUGCCGGAAGAUGAGCUCGCGUCUGAUUAGGUAGUUGGUGAGGUAACGGCUCACCAAGCCGACGAUCAGUAGCCGGACUGAGAGGUUGAACGGCCACAUUGGGACUGAGACACGGCCCAGACUCCUACGGGAGGCAGCAGUGGGGAAUAUUGCACAAUGGGCGAAAGCCUGAUGCAGCGAUGCCGCGUGAGGGAAGAAGGUUUUAGGAUUGUAAACCUCUGUCUUUGGGGACGAUAAUGACGGUACCCAAGGAGGAAGCUCCGGCUAACUACGUGCCAGCAGCUGC